UUUAAGCGCAACCAUGAGUUUCCGUGUCUAACUUGGAUCGUACAUCUUAUUUGAAAUUUUUUAUUAUUAGUAUUUUUAUUAUUUUUAUUAGAUGAUAAAACAUGAAUAGUAUUUUAUGCGUGACUUAUGUUCUUUUUUUUUUUUCAAGAAUUAAGACAGAUUAUCAAAGGUUGAACACAUAAACUCAUGGUUGUGCUUAAA
rfam:Oryza sativa (indica cultivar-group) chromosome 10, whole genome shotgun sequence.